rnacentral:lncRNA from 1 species
CAUUUUUUCAUUGCAGCUUAUUCUUGGAUCAAGGAUUGACUUGCAGAUUAGUAACAUGAUGUCAUGAGGAAAAUGUGUGUCAUGAUGGAGAGAAGGGAGAGAUGGUACCCCUUAUUUGUGUAGAUGGAAACACAUGUGAAUAAAUGCCACGUAUCAGUGUAAGGAGACUAUUCAGAAAGAAGUCAUCACCUUGACAAGCCAGAAAGAUGGUUUGAAUUGAGAGGACAGACCUAGAUGAAUGUGAGCUUCAUCUUUUAGAACAGGGAGAAGUAUAUGCAAGAUCUCAGGAGCAAAGAGCUGGGUCAGAAAGGCUGUCUACGUGGAGCUGCAAACUGUUACUAAGAGACCACGCGCCAGCUACUGAGCUCCCCUUCAGCCAGAGCUGCUCUCCCGCUUCAGCAGUGCAGUUGCCAUGGCUUUGU